rnacentral:rRNA from 1 species
GACGAACGCUGGCGGCGCGCCUAACACAUGCAGGUCGAACGAGCGAGAGAGAGCUUGCUUUCUCGAGCGAGUGGCGAACGGGUGAGUAACGCGUGAGGAACCUGCCUCAAAGAGGGGGACAACAGUUGGAAACGACUGCUAAUACCGCAUAAGCCCACGGUGCCGCAUGGCACAGAGGGAAAAGGAGCAAUCCGCUUUGAGAUGGCCUCGCGUCCGAUUAGCUAGUUGGUGAGGUAAUGGCCCACCAAGGCGACGAUCGGUAGCCGGACUGAGAGGUUGAACGGCCACAUUGGGAAUGAGACACGGCCCAGACUCCUACGGGAGGCAGCAGUGGGGAAUAUUGCACAAUGGGGGAAACCCUGAUGCAGCGACGCCGCGUGGAGGAAGAAGGUCUUCGGAUUGUAAACUCCUGUUGUUGGGGAAGAUAAUGACGGUACCCAACAAGGAAGUGACGGCUAACUACGU